GGUGAACGCUAGCGGCAGGCUUAACACAUGCAAGUCGAGGGGCAGCAUAUUUUGUAGUAAUACAAGAUGAUGGCGACCGGCGCACGGGUGCGGAACGCGUAUGCAACCUACCAUAUACAGGGGGAUAAACUUUCGAAAGGGAGCCUAAUACCCCAUAGUAUUAUUUUAAGGCAUCUUGCAAUAAUUAAUGAUUAAUUGGUAUAUGAUGGGCAUGCGUGUCAUUAGCUAGUUGGUAAGGUAACGGCUUACCAAGGCGACGAUGACUAGGGGUUCUGAGAGGAAGAUCCCCCACACUGGUACUGAGACACGGACCAGACUCCUACGGGAGGCAGCAGUGAGGAAUAUUGGUCAAUGGGCGAGAGCCUGAACCAGCCAUGCCGCGUGCAGGAAGACGGCCCUAUGGGUUGUAAACUGCUUUUAUGUGAGGAUAAACCUAUUCUUGCGAGAGUAGCUGAAGGUAUCACAUGAAUAAGGAUCGGCUAACUCCGUGCCAGCCGCCGCGGUAA
rnacentral:rRNA from 1 species